GACGAACGCUGGCGGCGUGCUUAACACAUGCAAGUCGAACGCUGAAGCUUGGUGCUUGCACUGGGUGGAUGAGUGGCGAACGGGUGAGUAAUACGUGAGUAACCUGCCCUUGACUCUGGGAUAAGCCUGGGAAACUGGGUCUAAUACUGGAUACGACAUGCCACUGCAUGGUGGUGUGUGGAAAGGGUUUUACUGGUUUUGGAUGGGCUCACGGCCUAUCAGCUUGUUGGUGGGGUAAUGGCCUACCAAGGCGACGACGGGUAGCCGGCCUGAGAGGGUGACCGGCCACACUGGGACUGAGACACGGCCCAGACUCCUACGGGAGGCAGCAGUGGGGAAUAUUGCACAAUGGGCGGAAGCCUGAUGCAGCGACGCCGCGUGAGGGAUGACGGCCUUCGGGUUGUAAACCUCUUUCAGCACGGAAGAAGCGAGAGUGACGGUACGUGCAGAAGAAGCGCUGGCUAACUACGUG
rnacentral:rRNA from 1 species